AGAGGGUGCGAGCGUUAAUCGGGAUUUACUGGGGCGUAAAGCGUGCGUAGGCGGCGUUUUUAAGUCGGAUGUGAAAUCCCUGAGCUUAACUUAGGGAAUUGCAUUCGAUACUGGGAAGCUAGAGUAUGGGAGAGGAUGGUAGAAUUCCAGGUGUAGCGGUGAAAUGCGUAGAGAUCUGGAGGAAUACCGAUGGCGAAGGCAGCCAUCUGGCCUAAUACUGACGCUGAGGUACGAAAGCAUGGGGAGCAAACAGGAUUAGAUACCCUGGUAGUCCAUGCCGUAAACGAUGUCUACUAGCCGUUGGGGCCUUUGAGGCUUUAGUGGCGCAGCUAACGCGAUAAGUAGACCGCCUGGGGAGUACGGUCGCAAGACUA
rnacentral:rRNA from 1 species